rnacentral:rRNA from 1 species
UGCAGUCGAGCGGUAACAGAUCUAGCUUGCUAGAUGCUGACGAGCGGCGGACGGGUGAGUAACGCGUAGGAAACUGCCGAGUAGUGGGGGAUAGCCCAGAGAAAUUUGGAUUAAUACCGCAUACGCCCUACGGGGGAAAGGAGGGGAUCUUCGGACCUUUCGCUAUUCGAUGUGCCUGCGUGAGAUUAGCUUGUUGGUGAGGUAAAGGCUCACCAAGGCGACGAUCUCUAGCUGGUUUGAGAGGAUGAUCAGCCACACUGGGACUGAGACACGGCCCAGACUCCUACGGGAGGCAGCAGUGGGGAAUAUUGCACAAUGGGGGAAGCCCUGAUGCAGCCAUGCCGCGUGUGUGAAGAAGGCCUUCGGGUUGUAAAGCACUUUCAGCAGUGAGGAAAGGUUGUAAGUUAAUACCUUGCAGCUAUGACGUUAACUGCAGAAGAAGGACCGGCUAACUCCGUGCCAGCAGCCGCGGUAAUACGGAGGGUCCGAGCGUUAAUCGGAAUUACUGGGCGUAAAGCGCGCGUAGGCGGCUAGGUCAGUCAGAUGUGAAAGCCCCGGGCUUAACCUGGGAAUUGCAUCUGAUACUGCUUGGCUAGAGUACAGAAGAGGGUGGUGGAAUUUCCUGUG